UCUGGAUGAACGCUGGCGGCGUGCCUAAUACAUGCAAGUCGAACGAGUUCUGAUUAUUGAAAGGUGCUUGCAUCUUGAUUUAAUUUUGAACGAGUGGCGGACGGGUGAGUAACACGUGGGUAACCUGCCCUUAAGUGGGGGAUAACAUUUGGAAACAGAUGCUAAUACCGCAUAAAUCCAAGAACCGCAUGGUUCUUGGCUGAAAGAUGGCGUAAGCUAUCGCUUUUGGAUGGACCCGCGGCGUAUUAGCUAGUUGGUGAGGUAACGGCUCACCAAGGCAAUGAUACGUAGCCGAACUGAGAGGUUGAUCGGCCACAUUGGGACUGAGACACGGCCCAAACUCCUACGGGAGGCAGCAGUAGGGAAUCUUCCACAAUGGACGCAAGUCUGAUGGAGCAACGCCGCGUGAGUGAAGAAGGCUUUCGGGUCGUAAAACUCUGUUGUUGGAGAAGAAUGGUCGGCAGAGUAACUGUUGUCGGCGUGACGGUAUCCAACCAGAAAGCCACGGCUAACUACGUGCCAGCAGCCGCGGUAAUACGUAGGUGGCAAGCGUUAUCCGGAUUUAUUGGGCGUAAAGCGAGCGCAGGCGGUUUUUUAAGUCUGAUGUGAAAGCCCUCGGCUUAACCGAGGAAGUGCAUCGGAAACUGGGAAACUUGAGUGCAGAAGAGGACAGUGGAACUCCAUGUGUAGCGGUGAAAUGCGUAGAUAUAUGGAAGAACACCAGUGGCGAAGGCGGCUGUCUGGUCUGUAACUGACGCUGAGGCUCGAAAGCAUGGGUAGCGAACAGGAUUAGAUACCCUGGUAGUCCAUGCCGUAAACGAUGAAUGCUAGGUGUUGGAGGGUUUCCGCCCUUCAGUGCCGCAGCUAACGCAUUAAGCAUUCCGCCUGGGGAGUACGACCGCAAGGUUGAAACUCAAAGGAAUUGACGGGGGCCCGCACAAGCGGUGGAGCAUGUGGUUUAAUUCGAAGCAACGCGAAGAACCUUACCAGGUCUUGACAUCUUUUGAUCACCUGAGAGAUCAGGUUUCCCCUUCGGGGGCAAAAUGACAGGUGGUGCAUGGUUGUCGUCAGCUCGUGUCGUGAGAUGUUGGGUUAAGUCCCGCAACGAGCGCAACCCUUAUGACUAGUUGCCAGCAUUUAGUUGGGCACUCUAGUAAGACUGCCGGUGACAAACCGGAGGAAGGUGGGGAUGACGUCAAAUCAUCAUGCCCCUUAUGACCUGGGCUACACACGUGCUACAAUGGAUGGUACAACGAGUUGCGAGACCGCGAGGUCAAGCUAAUCUCUUAAAGCCAUUCUCAGUUCGGACUGUAGGCUGCAACUCGCCUACACGAAGUCGGAAUCGCUAGUAAUCGCGGAUCAGCACGCCGCGGUGAAUACGUUCCCGGGCCUUGUACACACCGCCCGUCACACCAUGAGAGUUUGUAACACCCGAAGCCGGUGGCGUAACCCUUUUAGGGAGCGAGCCGUCUAAGGUGGGACAAAUGAUU
rnacentral:rRNA from 1 species